GACGAACGCUGGCGGCGUGCCUAAUACAUGCAAGUAGAACGCUGAAGGAGGAGCUUGCUUCUCUGGAUGAGUUGCGAACGGGUGAGUAACGCGUAGGUAACCUGCCUGGUAGCGGGGGAUAACUAUUGGAAACGAUAGCUAAUACCGCAUAAUAUUGACUAUUGCAUGAUAGUCAGUUGAAAGGUGCAACUGCACCACUACCAGAUGGACCUGCGUUGUAUUAGCUAGUUGGUGGGGUAACGGCUCACCAAGGCGACGAUACAUAGCCGACCUGAGAGGGGGAUCGGCCACACUGGGACUGAGACACGGCCCAGACUCCUACGGGAGGCAGCAGUAGGGAAUCUUCGGCAAUGGACGGAAGUCUGACCGAGCAACGCCGCGUGAGUGAAGAAGGUUUUCGGAUCGUAAAGCUCUGUUGUAAGAGAAGAACGAGUGUGAGAGUGGAAAGCUCACACUGUGACGGUAGCUUACCAGAAAGGGACGGCUAACUACGUG
rnacentral:rRNA from 1 species